GAUGAACGCUGGCGGCGUGUCUAAUACAUGCAAGUCGAACGCACAGCGAAAGGUGCUUGCACCUUUCAAGUGAGUGGCGAACGGGUGAGUAACACGUGGACAACCUGCCUCAAGGCUGGGGAUAACAUUUGGAAACAGAUGCUAAUACCGAAUAAAACUUAGUGUCGCAUGACACAAAGUUAAAAGGCGCUUUGGCGUCACCUAGAGAUGGAUCCGCGGUGCAUUAGUUAGUUGGUGGGGUAAAGGCCUACCAAGACAAUGAUGCAUAGCCGAGUUGAGAGACUGAUCGGCCACAUUGGGACUAAGACACGGCCCAAACUCCUACGGGAGGCUGCAGUAGGGAAUCUUCCACAAUGGGCGAAAGCCUGAUGGAGCAACGCCGCGUGUGUGAUGAAGGCUUUCGGGUCGUAAAGCGCUGUUGUAUGGGAAGAACAGCUAGAAUAGGGAAUGAUUUUAGUUUGACGGUACCAUACCAGAAAGGGACGGCUAAAUACGUGCCAGCAGCCGCCGUAA
rnacentral:rRNA from 1 species